CCGAAAUCCGCCCGUACCGUAAACCGACACAGGUAGGCGGGGAGAGAAUCCUAAGGUGCGCGGGAAAACCCUCGUUAAGGAACUCGGCAAAUUGCAUCCGUAACUUCGGGAGAAGGAUGACCCUGAGUAGGCGAAAGGGAGAAACCCCCGGAACAGAAAAGGGUGGCAGAAAAGAGGCCCAAGCAACUGUUUACCAAAAACACAGGUGCCUGCGAAAGCGAAAGCUGAAGUAUAGGUGCUGACGCCUGCCCGGUGCUGGAAGGUUAAGGAGAGAGGUCAGCGAAAGCGAAGCUUUGAACUGAAGCCCCAGUGAACGGCGGCCGUAACAAUAACGGUCCUAAGGUAGCGAAAUUCCUUGUCGGGUAAGUUCCGACCCGCAUGAAAGGCGUAAUGAUUUGGGCACUGUCUCAACGAGGGGCCCGGUGAAAUUGAAAUACCUGUGAAGAUGCAGGUUACCCGCGACUGGACAGAAAGACCCCAUGGAGCUUCACUGCAGCUUGAGAUUGAAUCCCGGUGACAUAUGCACAGGAUAGGUGGGAGGCUAAGAAGUAAUGCCUUUGGGUGUUACAGAGCCGAUGUUGGGAUACCACCCUUAUGUUGCAGAGAUUCUAACACGGAGACUAACAACCUCGUGGACCAUCUCAGGCAGGCGGUUUGACUGGGGCGGUCGCCUCCUAAAAUGUAACGGAGGCGCCCAAAGGUUCCCUCAGGCCGGACAGAAACCGGCCGAAGAGUGCAAAGGCAGAAGGGAGCUUGACUGCGAGACAGACAAGUCGAGCAGAGACGAAAGUCGGGCUUAGUGAUCCGGUGGUACUGAGUGGAAAGGCCAUCGCUCAACGGAUAAAAGCUACCCUGGGGAUAACAGGCUAAUCUCUCCCAAGAGUUCAUAUCGACGGGGAGGUUUGGCACCUCGAUGUCGGCUCAUCACAUCCUGGAGCUGGAGUAGGUUCCAAGGGUUGGGCUGUUCGCCCAUUAAAGUGGUACGCGAGCUGGGUUCAAAACGUCGUGAGACAGUUUGGUUCAUAUCCAUCGCGGGCGCAAGAAGUUUGAGGGAGGCUGCUCCUAGUACGAGAGGACCGGAGUGGACGGAUCAACGGUGUACCAGUUGUCACGCCAGUGGCACGGCUGGAAAGCCGCAUCCGGAAAGGAUAAACGCUGAAAGCAUCUAAGCGUGAAGCCCGUCCCGAGAUGAGACUUCUCAUCAGCAAUGAGUAAGACCCCUUAAAGACGAUGAGGUUGAUAGGCUGUGAGUGGAAGUGGCGCAAGUCAUGGAGCGACGCAGUACUAAUAGGUCGAGGUCUUAGC
rnacentral:rRNA from 1 species